UUUCCUCAUCACACCUCUCUCUGCCUGGGAGGCCACUGCUGCCACAAAGCAGCCUUUCUCCAUGGUUCCCUGCUGGUUUCUUGUGGCCAUCCUUGUCUCUCUAGGAUGGGCCCUUCAGCAAUCACCAGACACAGUUGUCCGGGAGGGAGACUCACUGAUUCUGAACUGUUC